GACGAACGCUGGCGGCGUGCUUAACACAUGCAAGUCGAGCGGUAAGGCCCUUUCGGGGGUACACGAGCGGCGAACGGGUGAGUAACACGUGGGUGACCUGCCCUUAGCUCUGGGAUAAGCCUGGGAAACUGGGUCUAAUACCGGAUAUGACUCCAUGACGCAUGUUGUGGGUGGAAAGCCUUGUGCGGCUAGGGAUGGGCCCGCGGCCUAUCAGCUUGUUGGUGGGGUGAGGCCUACCAAGGCGACGACGGGUAGCCGGCCUGAGAGGGCGACCGGCCACACUGGGACUGAGACACGGCCCAGACUCCGUACGGGAGGCAGCAGGUGGGGAAUCUUGCGCAAGUGGGCGAAAGCCUGACGCAGCGACGCCGCGUGGGGAUGACGGCCU
rnacentral:rRNA from 1 species